rnacentral:lncRNA from 1 species
CGGGGCUCGGGGGCCUUCCGUUAAGAACUUAUUAAGUGGGGGGCGGUUAAGAGUUGAUCUGUCGCAGAGCGCUACUUACCCCCAUAUUUUUGAAUUACUUGUAUUGAUCUGAGACUGUGUUCUUUGGAAUGUGACCCUGUCGGACUUCGAGUUAAUCAGGAAGCGCUGCCGGGGAGGGCUCCUUGUAAUCACGGGACCUCCCCACCCGUGGGCACACUCCCCCACCCCACCCCACCCUUCUUAGUAGCCUGGGCCUUGCCUGGAACCGCCUGCCCUUGUCUUUGCUCCACAGCACGACCUGGGAGCUGUCUGUGGUGCUAGGAAAGAGAACCUUGGAGAUCGCCAGAAGAAGGGCCAAGCAAGGAGAAGUAAAGAGGAAGAAACAGAAUGGCAGCGCGCCCAGAAAAGCUCACAAUGACAGAGGCCUUCACAUCCCAGCUAGGAGAAAGCAAGUGUGUUUUCCAGAUUCCCCUGGCUCAUCCCCAGGCCAGCAAGCCUUGAGGAUGGACCUUUUGAGGUUUUUAAGCAUCCCUCUGAAACAAGUCCAUUUUCCUGUGCUCUGGUGGGAAGCAAAGAAUGUCGUCAGAGUUUCUGUUUGUCUAGACUUCCAGUCCAGAGACCAGUCACAGUUUGCCCUUCAGACAGGGGAAAGACAAGGAAUGUAGCUAGCUCCCCGGCACAGCCACUUGGGGAAGUCCUUAACCAGCUAAAUCUCCUGUGGAAAGACACAUUUGCUUGCCCCUCUCCACACCCCAAAUAUAACUGGGCCAGCACAAAAGCAUGAAAGAACCCCCUUGUAAAGGAAUGAACUCAUUUUGUUCUUGAUUUUUAAGCAGUAGUUUCUGGACUUGGGAUUUUAGGGCACCUGUGAAGGUCUCCUUUGCAGCAGUGUUGGAGAGAAAGGAACUUGGUACCCAACUUUCUUCCCAAAACAGCUCCUCUUGCAACACCAAUCUAACAAUCUGUGUUAAACAGCAAGUAGCCAAAACCAAAACAAAUGGAGAAAAGAAGGGUGGACAUUUUCAACCACAUGGUUUAGGAGAUGCAAGAAAACAUGUUUAUCAGAAAAGGUGAACCUGCAGAAAUUUUGAUGUAUGCAAAACAGCUACCACAAGCCUGGAAAGAACUACCCCUGCACUGACCACCCACGGAGUCCAAGUUCAAGCCAGAGAGGGAAAUAGCCGUGGGCUGACUCCCCAGUAGGGGGCUGGUGGGCCACUGGCCAAGGUCUUGCCUAGGUUAGUAAGUUUGCUCCUACAUUUUCCUACCAGACACUGGAUAAUUCUUUUAUGUGGCUUUCCACAAACAACACCUGUGCUUUCUUUGGCCCUGAGCUUUCCAGACCCAGGUACAGUGUGAACAGAAGAUUCCUCACACCUUAGAAAAUAAUUUUU